CCGGCAAUUACUGGAUUCUACCAAUCAUAUUACUUGUCCCGCCCCGAUAGCUUGGAGGAGGUCCUUAGCUUGACGCCUUACCAUUGGCGGUUGGCAACCUCUCUAUCAGUUGAUUGGAGAGAGUGCAUGUCCAUCAAGGUCACGCUUGAGACUAGCAGAGGCGAAACCAGCGGGAAGACGACUUCGCCACCAAGGGCGGGCGGGCCUGCUGGGAUACUCCGGGUGAGUGGGACGCACUGGGCGGGGUUUCGCCGUUCCGAGGAUGUCGGGGAAGGGGGGUCACUGCCAGAUGGAGGUUCCGGUUCCGGUGCAGUGUCUGGCUGGUUGCGUUGCUACGGCAGCGCGGUUGAGCGCUCUCGUCUGUGUGAUCGGGGCUUCGCUGACUUUCCGGCCUACUUAAGCCCCUGGGCCUGGGCCCAGGAAGGGUUUGUUGAACCGGGAGCUAAGAAGGGAAUUGGCUCGUUCGACAGACGUUUUCUGCGCAGCUGUGGCGUGCAAGGCACGGGGCCGGUGCGGGACCUCCAGAGAGACCUGUGCCCAAAGCUUGAGAAAUGAGAAGCAGAUUCCUGGAUUCCAGGUAAAUCAGAGGAACAAACCUGAACAGAAAUAUACAGGAAGUGAUGUGAUGCUGAAGCUUAACGCUUAUUUCAGAAGUCUGGUAUCUGGUGCUCUUAACAGCAGAAACUAUAUUAUUUGCAAAAUCACCACGCUUUUACUUGUAUUAUAUAGUAAUUUUUUAAAAAAUAAAUAUUGACAAUUUGUUCUUGAAA
rnacentral:lncRNA from 9 species